GCCUGGCGCCCUGGCUCAGGCCUGUAGUCUUAGCUAGUCAGGAGGCUGAGGCGGGAGGGUGGCUUGAGCCCAGGAAUUCUAGGCUGUGGUGCGCUAUGCCAGUUGGGUGUCUGCACUAAGUUCAGCAUCAAUAUGGUGACCUGGGAACAGAGGACUGCCAGGUUGCCUAAGGGAGGGGUGAACUGGCCCAGGUCGGAAAUGGAGCAGGUCAGAACUCCCGUGCUGAUCAGUAGCAGGAUCCAGACCAUGAAUAGCCACUGCACUCCAGCUUGGGCAACAGACCCUGUCUCU
rnacentral:SRP_RNA from 1 species